rnacentral:piRNA from 1 species
UGUCCUGGAGCUGUGUCCUUGAUGCCUUU